GCUGUCAGUCAGGCCAUCAUGGCCGUCAUGUGAAGUGUGUGUUAAUUUCGUGUUAAAAAAGUUAUGUCAACAACUCGCACCCCGGGUCCCCCAAAGAAAAGGGGACACCAGCACCACCCCCGUAAUGAAGGCAAUCGACGUAAGCCCAUCUUAGAGCCAGUAGUAGGGCCACCGCUCAGUGUUUACAGUGGUGACAAUGUGUUGACAAAUAAAGGGGUUGCACCAACCAAAACAUUACCACAAAAAGUUGUUGUUCAAGAUCAGAAAAUAAAUGUAGGGGGUGGAAAAGAUAAACAAGCAAAUUGUGAUAUUCCAGUGAUAGAUUUAACCCUUUGUGAUGACGAAAUAGUAGAAAAUAAGGUCGAAAAAGUAGUCGUAGAAUCUAGUAAUAGUGGCAGCAAUGUAUCUGUUAGUAAAUCAGUAAAGAAUGACCAUAAUCAGCGAAUUAAAAAGUCUAGAAGAUCGAGGAACCAUCAUAAUCAAACUUACAAAACCUCGCAAAUUAUUAAGGCCCCCAGUAAAAGUUCUUUGUUUAACAAUGAUGACAUGUCUUUGGUGGAGCGUCCAGAAGCUGAAGGUUCCAGUCUUAGCGACCAGGAAAUAGAAAAGACUGAUUAUGAUCCAGAAAUAGAGGAAUUAUCCAAGCUUCGCUGUACGUCCGAGAGGACUGAAGUGAUAGCUGAAAAAGAAAUGAGAAGAAGGGGCCGUCGAUGUGCAGAUUAUCCUGGUCUGGCAUUUAGUUCAACAUUCAGUUCCGAUACCUUGAUGAAGUUCAGCAUAAUCAGAAAUGAAAUUCAAAAUAUUAUGAAUACACAACUGAAAAGGGCCGAAUCCGAAGUGGCAGCCCUGAACCGUCGUAUCCAACUUCUGGAAGAAGAUCUCGAACGUUCCGAAGAACGUUUGGCCACCGCCACCGCCAAACUGGCCGAAGCCUCACAAGCCGCCGACGAGAGCGAAAGGAUACGCAAAGCGCUGGAAAAUAGGACCAACAUGGAAGACGACCGCGUAUCAAUCCUGGAACAGCAGCUAGCCCAGGCCAAACAAAUUGCCGAAGAGGCCGACAAAAAAUACGAAGAGGCAACGCAAGGCUCUCGAACACCGCUCCCUGGCCGAUGAAGAGCGCAUGGACGCCCUAGAGAACCAGCUGAAGGAGGCCCGCUUUUUGGCAGAAGAAGCCGACAAAAAAUACGAUGAGGUAGCCCGUAAGUUGGCCAUGGUUGAAGCUGACCUUGAAAGAGCAGAGGAACGUGCCGAAGCUGGUGAAUCUAAAAUCGUAGAACUUGAGGAAGAACUUCGCGUCGUAGGCAACAACCUGAAAUCUCUUGAAGUCUCUGAAGAGAAGGCCAACCAACGUGAGGAGGAGUACAAAAACCAAAU
rnacentral:misc_RNA from 1 species